UACGGAGGGGGCUAGCGUUGUUCGGAAUUACUGGGCGUAAAGCGCACGUAGGCGGCUUUGUAAGUUAGAGGUGAAAGCCCAGGGCUUAACCCUGGAAUUGCCUUUAAGACUGCAUCGCUAGAAUUGUGGAGAGGUAAGUGGAAUUCCGAGUGUAGAGGUGAAAUUCGUAGAUAUUCGGAAGAACACCAGUGGCGAAGGCGACUUACUGGACACAUAUUGACGCUGAGACGCGAAAGCGUGGGGAGCAAACAGG
rnacentral:rRNA from 1 species